rnacentral:rRNA from 1 species
ACGGGUGAGUAACAUAUCGGAACGUGCCCUGGAGUGGGGGAUAACCAGUCGAAAGACUGGCUAAUACCGCAUACGAUCUACGGAUGAAAGUGGGGGAUCGCAAGACCUCAUGCUCGUGGAGCGGCCGAUAUCUGAUUAGCUAGUUGGUGGGGUAAAGGCCCACCAAGGCGACGAUCAGUAGCUGGUCUGAGAGGACGACCAGCCACACUGGGACUGAGACACGGCCCAGACUCCUACGGGAGGCAGCAGUGGGGAAUUUUGGACAAUGGGGGCAACCCUGAUCCAGCAAUGCCGCGUGAGUGAAGAAGGCCUUCGGGUUGUAAAGCUCUUUUGUUCGGAAAGAAAUCGCUCUGGUUAAUACCCGGGGUGGAUGACGGUACCGGAAGAAUAAGCACCGGCUAACUACGUGCCAGCAGCCGCGGUAAUACGUAGGGUGCAAGCGUUAAUCGGAAUUACUGGGCGUAAAGCGUGCGCAGGCGGUUGUGCAAGACAGAUGUGAAAUCCCCGGGCUUAACCUGGGAACUGCAUUUGUGACUGCACGGCUAGAGUGUGUCAGAGGGGGGUAGAAUUCCACGUGUAGCG